rnacentral:rRNA from 1 species
AACCUCCGCAAUGUACGAAAGUGCGACGGGGGGAUCCCAAGUGUUAUGCUUUUUUGUAUAACUUUUCAUUAGUGUAAAAAGCUUUUAGAAUAAGAGCUGGGCAAGACCGGUGCCAGCCGCCGCGGUAACACCGGCAGCUCGAGUGGUAGCUGUUUUUAUUGGGCCUAAAGCGUUCGUAGCCGGUUUGAUAAGUCUUUGGUGAAAGCUUGUAGCUUAACUAUAAGAAUUGCUGGAGAUACUAUCAGACUUGAAGUCGGGAGAGGUUAGAGGUACUACCGGGGUAGGGGUGAAAUCCUAUAAUCCUGGGAGGACCACCUGUGGCGAAGGCGUCUAACUGGAACGAUCUUGACGGUGAGUAACGAAAGCCAGGGGCGCGAACCGG